CCGAGUACCGGGUCUUCGGGCCCUGCUCCCACCCUCUGUGUACCUACCUAUUUUUCGUUGCCUCGGCGGGGCUGAUCCCGCGCGACCCCUGUGGCCGCGUGGGGGACCCGCCGGGGGGACACAACCUAAACUCUGAUUUAACGUCGAGUCUGAGAAAAACAAGAAUAAAUCA
rnacentral:misc_RNA from 1 species